CCCACCGCGUGGCUCCGCCUCAUGGACGGUCCUCCCACGCCCGAUGGCCAUGAGGUGCACGCGGUGCGUUGGGCCGUGUCUUCUCUGCACCUAUUUGGUGCAGCAGCCUCUUGUCUCCAUAGACGAGGAGGGCGACCGGGACCCAAGCGCAAGACGAUGAGAGCACGGUCGUCGGGCACCGGCACACCGGCAGCGCGCGCAUGGGCCUCCUCGCCGCGGCCUCGGACUGGAAGAAUUCAUGGACGGUCUCACCAUCUCAGAACAGGUCGCCGGCUUCCUCUACGACUUGCUGGCCUCGUUGGUGGACAGAGGGGUCGGCUGCCACUCGCGGCUCUGAAUUGCAGGACUCGCUGGAUGGAUGCGAGUGUGAGCAACCAAGCUAUAUCAGAUUGCUCACAAGAUAGGUUAGAUUUUUGUGGCAUAUCACUAUGCUUUUUCUGUUGGUGUAGACCUUUUCCCAUUGUAUUAUGAGCUGUGUGACGAGAGGUCAGAGCGACGAAUUUGAAGCUGUUAUUCCCUUGCUAUACCAUUCUCCACAACACAAAGUCAAAGCGGGCAUGUUUCUUCUGUCUUUAAACUUGUGCACUAUGAGCUGGUGUUGCAAUGCUUGAAGAAGUUGACUGGCGUUGUUGUGCAAGAUAUACCUUAUAGAACAAGCCAUGCUGUUCGAAAUGCUGGCACAAAUUGCGCUUCUGAUAAAGAAGUUGACGAGCUUCUCAUGAAGCUGCCACGUCGAUUACGAGAUGCACUUCUACCCUUCCAACUUGAAGGUGUCAAAUUUGGGCUUCGGAGGCAAGGGCGCUGCCUUAUUACAGAUGAGAUGGGCUUGGCAAGACUAACCAGAAUGGGGAAGCAGUAUGUUCUCAUUUAUUUAAAUGCUGGCAAUUGCAAUAGCUUGUUGCUUAAAGGACGAGGGCCCUCUAUUAAUAGUGUGUCCAGCUGUUCUGCAUUAUACUUGGGCGGAGGAAUUGGAACGCUGGGAUCCUUCAUUUCUUCCAAAAGAUAUUCAUCUUGGUACUGAUUCAGAGUUUCAUUAUUCAAGAGUUAAUUUUACUGAUGUCAAACCUGGUAUUAUAAUUAUUUCAUAUCUUUAGUGUAUCUAAUUUGAUCCUGAAUGCUUGUGAAGUUACAACGAUCUCAAUAUUUAUUUUCAUCAAGUUUGAAUUGCCUGCCUACCACAUGUGCCAUGUGGUAAUGAUCUCCAUAUAUUGAUUGCAUAUUUUGUAUUUUAUCCAUACAAAUUCUAAGUAUCGAAUUCUUUUGGCCCAGAUAUAUCAUUCAUUUGUUGCAUCAGCGUCAGUUUUGAAAUAUUGCAGUAAAAACAGUUGCAGGAUAAAAUUGCAUCCCGUAUGAACAAUCAUAGAUGGACCCAGAUCACUCAAAUAAAAAAAAGAUAGAUUUGACGCCGCUGCCGUGGUCGUCUUCGAUGCCGUCGCCGUCCUCCUCUUCGUCAUGCAUGGUGAGGUCGAUGUACGGUGGUGGCUUUCAUAGGUGGGCAGGCUGCCCCUGCAGCGGCUGCAAGGCCGGAGGCGCCUGCAACACCUCUUCCAGUGGCGGGAACGGCGCCCACCCACACGGGCGGCACGGACGUGUUCCGGCGUGCACGGCACCAUGUCCGUCCACGUCCAGGACUGGCCCACCAAUGCCACGAAGGGUGCUCAUCGUCGGCCCCUCCUUGACCUCCUCCAUGACCUCCUCCUUGACCUACAACUCCGGGGGGAUGGCGACGUCGCAUGCGGCGGAGAGGGCCAGCAUCUCGUCAAGGCCCUCCCAUUGGGCACGGUUAUAUUUCAGUUUUAGAAAUAUGUAUUGAUGGAAUAUAGCAGCGUUUCUUUUUACUUAAUUUCGUUUUGCUGUUUUCCAUAUAUAUCACUCAUUUUAUUGACAUGUACAUAUCAAAUCCAGUCCAUGUCUUGGCCUCUUUUUGAUGUCUGCGUUAUCUUCCCGCAGGUGUUGUAAUUUUAUCAACACGCAGGAAGGAUUUAUGGUACAGGUAGUCAUGCUAAUUAAAUUCAGAAAUGUGUUGUAUGUCUCUAAUCUUUGCAGCUUCAUGGUGUAGGAUAAAAGAAUGGCAUUAGCCCAACAAAAACUGUGAUCUGCCUCACAAUUUCUUCUAAUUCUAAAGUAGCACUGAAUCGAACGGGGAAUUCCGGCAACUUUGCAGGUGUCUGGUAAGCACCGGAGGGAUGGUCUGUGUGGCACACAAAACACAGUGCAACGAGGGGCUGCAUAUCAUCAGGUCGAGGGCUACAGUCGGCAUGGAUAGGGCUCGUCAUGCUGCGCCGUUCUCCCGACCUCCUUCCCAUCACAGCGUGAUGGGAAUCACUGGCUUACAAGGCUGUAACUCUGCUUAAACAUCUUGCCAAGGAGGAGUAGCAGCCGUGCCUGGAAGGCGUGGAGCAGGGGGCGGUGUAAGGGGUGUGGAGCAUGGCAACUCCAAGAUGCUAGCAUCCACUAGCUCAUAUUGGAUUGUUGGGAGAUAUUUGGUUCUAUGAUGGCCAUGUUGAUCAAAAUCACAUGUAAAACGAUCAGGAAGGUCCUGAUCAGGUGCUCUGGUCGCGCAAGGGGAGCGCGGCGCACAACCUCCGCCUGCUGAAGACGAUGUGGCAGUGCGGUGUGGGCCUUGACGGCAAGCGCAACGACCAGCUGGACUACGGCAACAGGGAAUUCUCCAUCGACGAGACGCCAGCGUUCCGGUUCUGCAUUGCGCCCUCCGUCCUGGACACCCCUGGUGUCUACAACGACGACCACUACUUCUUCUACGAUGCCCGUUAGAGGGGUGUGGACUGUGGACUACUAUGAUGGCGAGCAGAGUUAGUAUGGCCUGGAGAGCCUUGACGAUGGUGCAGAUGAGCAGCUGCUCUUCACUGGCAAGUCUCAUGGCUGCAAUACAUUGCUGUGCAUUGCCUGUGAUGGCAUCUCAAAUUGUUUCUGAAAGUAUAAUAUAAUACAUUUAUAAGGCCCUCAUCACUUGCAUGUACAUUUGCUACUAACAACGCAAAAAAGAAAAUGAAAGGAUGCGCUGCCUACA